AUCAAGACAUUUCACUGCCAACAUAGACAGCAUUGAAUUAAUCACCAUAAAAAAAAGAGCUACCGGUAUAAGAAGGUGAGGGAAGUCGAGGAAACAGACAGACAAUGGUCAGCUCCAUUUGCAAUGAUCAUAUUAGACAUGACUGCCAAUUACAUCGUGAAUGAUGUCGAUCUCCCUGCCAUAAGCAGCAAAAGAUGAUUGUGAGUUGCCACUCCAAAACCAGAAGGCGUUAGAUGGUCGAGACGUGAGCAUGAAAGGUAAGUUACCUCAAAGCUCAUUGACGUCUUCUUCUUCUUCUUCUUCUUCUUCUUCUUCUUCUUCUUCUUCUUCUUCUUCUUCAGCAGCAGCAACA
rnacentral:lncRNA from 1 species